CCUACGGGGGGCUGCAGUGGGGAAUAUUGGACAAUGGGGGGAACCCUGAUCCAGCCAUGCCGCGUGUGUGAAGAAGGCCCUCGGGUUGUAAAGCACUUUCAGUGAGGAAGAACGCCUGGUGGUUAAUACCCAUCAGGAAAGACAUCACUCACAGAAGAAGCACCGGCUAACUCCGUGCCAGCAGCCGCGGUAAUACGGAGGGUGCGAGCGUUAAUCGGAAUUACUGGGCGUAAAGCGCGCGUAGGUGGCUUGAUAAGCCGGUUGUGAAAGCCCCGGGCUCAACCUGGGAACGGCAUCCGGAACUGUCAAGCUAGAGUGCAGGAGAGGAAGGUAGAAUUCCCGGUGUAGCGGUGAAAUGAGUAGAGAUCGGGAGGAAUACCAGUGGCGAAGGCGGCCUUCUGGACUGACACUGACACUGAGGUGCGAAAGCGUGGGUAGCAAACAGGAUUAGAUACCCCAGUAGUC
rnacentral:rRNA from 1 species